ensembl:snRNA U6 U6 spliceosomal RNA
CUUGCUUUUGCAGCAAGUACAGUAAAAACUGAAACUAUAUAGAAAAGAUGACCAUGACCCAUGUGCAAGGAUGUCACAGAAAAUUUGCGAAGUACCCUAUAUUUUA